UACAGAGGGUGCAAGCGUUGUUCGGAAUUAUUGGGCGUAAAGCGCGUGUAGGCGGCAGUGCAAGUCGGGUGUGAAAGCCCUCAGCUCAACUGAGGAAGUGCGCCCGAAACUGCAUUGCUUGAGUACCGGAGAGGAUGGCGGAAUUCCCGAAGUAGAGGUGAAAUUCGUAGAUAUCGGGAGGAACACCGGUGGCGAAGGCGAGUCUCUGGGAUGAUACUGACGCUGAUGCUCGAAAGCUAGGGGAGCAAACGGG
rnacentral:rRNA from 1 species